CCCUGAUGCUGUUCUCAGGAUAGUGAGUGAGUUCUCACAAGAUCUGAUGGUUUUAUAAGGAGCUUUUCCCCUUUGCUCGGCACUUCUCCUUCCUGCCGCCAUGUGAAAAAGACGUGUUUGCUACCCCUUCUGCCAGGAUCUCUCUUGCAGCCCUGUGCCUCCAUGUAAGAGCUCCAUCUAUCACGAUGCUAUCAUCUGGUGAGGAAGCUAAAGGCAUGCAGAAGGUUCUGGAGGAGAUGCCAUCUGAAGAAAGAGCCAAGAAGCACUAAAAUGCCAAACAGUGAAGAUGUCAUCUUGGAAGGGACCCUCCAGCCCCAAUAUUGCUCCUGGCUGACACCAAGUGGCCCAGCUGAGCCCUUCUCAAAUUCCUGGCCCACAACAUGAUGAACAAAAUAAAAUGGUUGUUUUAA
rnacentral:lncRNA from 1 species